CAGGGGGCGCGAGCGUUGCUCGGAAUCACUGGGCGUAAAGCGUACGCAGGCGGACUGUUAAGUCGGGUGUGAAAGCCCAGGGCUCAACCCUGGAAUUGCAUUCGAAACUGGCAGUCUCGAGUACGGAAGAGGGGAGUGGAAUUCCUGGUGUAGAGGUGAAAUUCGUAGAUAUCAGGAGGAACACCGGUGGCGAAAGUGGCUCCCUGGUCCGAUACUGACGCUCAUGUACGAAAGCGUGGGGAGCAAACAGGAUUAGAUACCCUGGUAGUCCACGCCGUAAACGAUGAGUGCUAGCUGCUGGGAAUCCUAUAAUUUUCUCGGUGGCGUAGCUAACGCGUUAAGCACUCCGCCUGGGAAGUACGGCCGCAAGGCUA
rnacentral:rRNA from 1 species